AGGCAGCUGGUAAUGCUUUUAAGGCCACUGCUCGUGACUGGGUGAAUACUGUGGCGCCGCAUCGCCAAACACGGGGUGUUUCAGUGAUAGUCAUUCGAGCGUGGAACCAUGAAAAGUGAAAGGGAACUCCGCAUUCGGUAUCAGCGUUCUAACACCGCAUUCUCGGUGCCAAUCUCUCUGAAAGCUAAGUAAGAGAUCAAAAACAG